rfam:Lupinus angustifolius cultivar Tanjil chromosome LG17, whole genome shotgun sequence.
AGGUGGGAUCAUACCCGUACUAAUGCACUAGAUUCCAUCAGAACUCCAUAGUUAAGCAUGCUUAGGCUAGAGUAGUACUAGGAUGGAUGACCUCUGGGAAGUUCCCGUGUUGCAAAUC